rnacentral:rRNA from 1 species
CAGAAACUUAAAUGAAUUGACGGGGCCCGCACAAGCGUGGAGCAUGUGGUUAAUCGAAGCAACGCGAAGAACUUACCAGGCCUUGACAUGCAGAGAACUUUCCAGAGAUGGAUUGGUGCCUUCGGGAACUCUGACACAGGUGCUGCAUGGCUGUCGUCAGCUCGUGUCGUGAGAUGUUGGGUUAAGUCCCGUAACGAGCGCAACCCUUGUCCUUAGUUACCAGCACGUUAUGGUGGGCACUCUAAGGAGACUGCCGGUGACAAACCGGAGGAAGGUGGGGAUGACGUCAAAUCAUCAUGCCCCUUAUGACCUGGGCUACAAACGUGAUACAAUGGCUGGAACAAAGGGAUGCGAAGCAGUGAUGUGGAGCGAAACCCAUAAAAACAGUCUCAGUUCGGAUUGAAGUCUGCAACUCGACUUCAUGAAGUCGGAAUCGCUAGUAAUCGCGGAUCAGAACGCCGCGGUGAAUACGUUCUCGGGGUUU